AUCAUUCACAAUGGGGGAAACCCUGAUGGUGCGACGCCGCGUGGGGGAAUGAAGGUCUUCGGAUUGUAAACCUCUGUCUUCGGUGACGAAAAUGACGGUAGCCGAGGAGGAAGCCACGGCUAACUACGUGCCAGCAGCCGCGGUAAUACGUAGGUGGCAAGCGUUGUCCGGAAUUACUGGGUGUAAAGGGAGCGCAGGCGGGAAGCCAAGUCAGCUGUGAAAACUACAGGCUUAACUUGUAGACUGCAGUUGAAACUGGUUUUCUUGAGUGAAGUAGAGGUUGGCGGAAUUCCGAGUGUAGCGGUGAAAUGCGUAGAUAUUCGGAGGAACACCGGUGGCGAAGGCGGCCAACUGGGCUUUAACUGACGCUGAGGCUCGAAAGUGUGGGGAGCAAACA
rnacentral:rRNA from 1 species